AGUGGUGGCAGGGGAAAGUGUAGUUAAGCAGCAUAGGAUGGUGUUCUGUAGGAUGACGUUGGAGAUCAAGAAGAGGAAGAGAGUGAGGGCAGAGAUCAAAUGGUGGAAGUUGAAAAAGGAAGAAUGCAAGGUUGAGUUUAGGGAGGAGGUGAGACAGGCACUGGGUGGCAGUGAAGAGUUACCAGACAGCUGGGAAACUACAGCAGAUGUACUAAGGGUGACAGCAAGAAGGGUGCUUGGUGUGACAUCUGGAAAGAGGAAGGAGGAAAAGGAAACCUGGUGGUGGAAUGAGGAAAUACAGGAGAGUAUACAGA